UGGGCUCUGGACUGGAGAGUGAAAAGAGACGGGGAGAGAAAAACUUGAGAACCCGUUUUUUGUUCUGCUUUGAUAGGUUACAGAGCUACUGCAAAAGCAACUUGGCAACGGACCAGGUGUGAUUGACAGUGAAAAGGGAUUCCCGAUGCAGCCUUAACGCAGAUAAGCGUCCCCACCCCCAGUGAGCUACAAAAACAGUGGAGGGAGUCCGGAGUCUGUGGGAAAUGUAAAAUGCCCGGGUAAAAAGUGCUUGAGAUCGACAGAGUCAACACGCAUCUGUUGAGACAGACCUGGCAACGUAACCCUGCGGCAACCUAGUGAGCCACGAGCACAGGGAUUUCCGGGUUGAAGUGGCCACAGGCAGCUACUGCCUCUAACAAGCCAGGGGUACCUGAUUGGUACCUGUUUCCAGGAGGUUCCAACCUUCCUGAAGAU